CCCGCCGCUGAAACAACAAAGAGCUAACAAAGGGUUGAUGAUGGUCAGAUGUACAGCCCCCAAACUUCCUGAGUCACAUCUUUCUGAGGAAGGUGAAACCUGGAAUAUGGGCCCAUAUUCCAAACAGGUCUUUAAGUUGUGAUUAGGAUGGAUGUGAUUGGCGUUUCAUAAUAAUCGACAACUUACUGGAAAAUGAUGGAAGACUGUUCACUUCAGGAAGAUGUCCUAGAAAAGAUGAUCAAGAACACUUGGAGAUCGCAAGAUUCCGGGUCGGAGCAUGAUCAAUGCUAUAGUGGCCUUGGAUCUCAGAGGAUACUGAUGAUCAGAUAGCUCAUUGUGAAAAAAAAUUCCACUGAAAUGUGCUCAGGUUGCAAGAUCCAGCAAGGUUUGUGAGGAGAACCAAGACAGUCAAUGAACUGUAUACGCCACUUGAGCCAAUUAACUGAUCGUUACUGAUUAGACACAGAAUGAAACACAGAUCAAUGAAUAGCUAGCUAUGACAGAUUUAAGUCUGAUGUCAGAUGCUGAAGUGACAAGGGCAAGUUCAAGCAGCAUAUUUGACUUUGCAGAUUUUCCAGCCAGAGCCCUUGGUGAGAAUGACAAGAGUUCAUGCCAAAACAGAAAAAGAUCUUCAAUUAGCAGGACUGAGGAAGAGAACAGGGUUUUGUUUUAACUUAUAACACCAUUAUCACUAAAGUUGAAGGAGAGAGUCAACAAGUGGAAAUUAAAGAGUCUAUACAUACAUAGAUUUACCAGCAGAUUGAAAACAAAAAUCUGCUGACACAAACUGGAACUGUGGCACAUAAAACCUCAUGGAAGCCAUCACUGAGCAGAGAUGAUCGAUGUCCAAAGAUUCAGGACACAGUCAAGGAAAAGUUGCCUAACUCAGAGAUCCAGGAUAGUUAAAAAAAAUAAAUUGCCUACUUCAACAGAACAACCAUUCUCCAUGAAGGAAAUGCAUACAAUUAAAGUUCCUUUAGUUUGGAAGGACUUUCAGCUCUAAAACUGAACCAAAGUAAAAAGUCAUCAACCCAAAUACUUGCCAAUCUUCCAAGUCUGAAGAGUACACAUUCUGGGUGACAUAAUGUGACUAGAUACACUGAUGAUUUGUAACUAACAUACUGUGAUAUUUAUGUUAGCUCCCAUAACAUAAGGACAAGAUGUGAGUCACAUAGUACUGAAGAAUUCAAUGAACUUUUGUAUCAGCUCAUGGUAUUUAUAUAUGUACACCACAGUCAUUGAUAAUUGCAUGUCGGGCUCAAGCUGGCAAUUCGGAUAUGCUGUAGAACCUUUCCCUCUGUGUGUCAUGGUGCAAGAGGAUAGAGUUCAGUAGGAUGGAGACUGAGAUCUUUAUAUCAUUAGAUUACAACCAAUAAUACAGUGAUAAUAUCAUGAGCCCAUAACUUCAAUGUAUAAUGUACAUUUCCAAUGCUGGGAGAAUAACAAAAGCUCAAUUUGCCUGAAUUUGUGAAGACAGACACUUGGUGAGGAGAUGGGAUAGUGGUAGAAGUAAUUAUAUGUACAAGUGUUUAAAUAUUCAUGGUAGGAUAAAAGCAUCAGGUAGAUGUUGUGUAAGGGUUUAAGGGUCUAAAAAAGUUAAUACUGAGGAGUACCUUAAGCACUUUGGGCCUAAGGGAAGAAAAGAUUUAGAUAUUGAAGGAGUAAAACCUACUAUUGAGGUCUCCUUCAUACUGUUCAACAAUAUCUGUCAUAUUAACAGUUAACCAUUCUGCUAGAUAUACCUGUCAGAUUAGAUCAACUUAGUCAGCAGUGUUGCUACUCUUGGUAAUGGACAGUUAAAUGCUUCACCUAAAGUAUCUCUGUGCCAUUGUUACCAUCAGUGUUUCUGUCACUUGGCAUUCAAUAUAAAGAAGUAUUAGUUCAUUAUAUAAUGGAUCCUUCAGCUGCAGGUUGCUAUGGCGUUGUGGAAGAGAGCUCAGCAGUUCGCUAUUACCCCCACCAGCAGAUGGCAAUGGUGAGGGAGGCCAGCUGGAGCAGUUAUACUGCCUCUUGAUGGAGAAAAAAGGUGUUCUCAGUGGAGGGAGGGUUAAUGAGAAGGGGAGCAGUCAAACAAAAUAAUUCCUUGGCUCACUGUAACUCAUAGUAUAAAUAGUUCCUUGUUUAUCCUUAAUUUCCCUUUCUGUUUGUAAUGACUUGAUUCUUGUCCUAUAAAUUACCCCUGCUUCAUGAUCUUUGGGCAAUUCAUGUGUUCAAAUCUCAUGUUGCAUUUUUGACAUAGUUGGCAAAUUUCAUAGCAUAAAUAAAGUCAUGGCAGACGAGAUGGAGAGGGGCCUGGCUAAGAUGAAGCUGGUGAUAAAGUGGGCAAUGUCUAUGAGGGAAGCUGAAGCUGCUCAGGGAUCUUUAAAUACUUUGUAUUGGCAGAGGAAUUCAGGCCCUUAGGCCAAACCCAGGCAGAAACUCUCCACCUACCUUCCUUUUAUUCUAUGGAGGAGAAGUUUUAUCCCUGGUUGGAUACUUGCUGAUGAGUGGGAAGCUAUACAGGUUCAGGGAAGACCAAAAACUCAUGACGAUCUGGUGAUAGAAGCCUAGAUUGAGGAGACACAGCUGGUCAUGGAGUCCAGGGGCCUCAACAUGAGUGAGCCAGUGGCAUUCAUCAUUGAAGGCUCAUUGGCAAAGAUUUGGAAGCUGCACAGAUGUUAAAAGAAAUCCGCAGAAGAUCUUUGAGGUACUGACGAGGGCUUUUGGGGACAAUAGCUUGGCACAGAGGUUUUAUGAGUACAAGGAAGCCAGUGGGGAAGAUUUGGUUUCUGUGUCCCUUCUGUUGCAUUGUCCACCUGAAUCUCUCCUUCCUUUUCCAGAACAGGAUUUUGAACAAGCAGCCAACAGAAGCAGAGAAUGUCAAAACAGAGUUGAGGAGGCUUACCAGGGACAAAACACAAUGAUAUUUUCUUUGAAGCAUUGAAUCACAUGACCAGAAUAUGGGAAAAGAUUGUGACCCUAAUACCAGGAAAGGAGCUGCCACUAGAGAGGAGACUGUGGGUGCAGAUGGGGAUGUAGACCUCAGGCUGGAAAGGCAGGCUCAGCAAGAUUGCUACACAGCAAACUCAGACCCAGUCCUUGUUGUCUUAUCCACAUAAUAAGCUUCAUGGACAAUUCUGCCCAAGGAAUGCUAUGAGGUGUUGGAAUUGUAACAGAACUGAGCAUUUCAGAAUCAACAAUCAUGGCCACCAACUGCUGUCAAGCACAGAAACCCCAUCCAGUGCAUCAGCCUUCCCUUCUCAGAAGGUUUGAACCACUGAAGUUCCUUCGGAAAGAGGCCGUCUUAUGUAGAGUAAUAGGGAGUUGCCCCAUAGUAUGCAUUAAAUUUGGCAAAGUAGAAGCAUUUGUGUAAUUGACACUAGAAUGAGGUGCCCACCAUUAGUCACCAGAUUUUCUGUGAGCAUCUGGCCAAGGAGUGUGGGCUGAUUGAUGUCUAUUCCCUCACCCAAGUCUCUGCUUCACAGGGGCUAAACAUCCCCUACCAUCACUACACUAUACUCUAUCAUAAUUUUCUUAGCCUCAGCUUCCUCAUAGCCCUUGCCGCGAUCAGUAGUUCAGUGGAAGUAAGGAAAUUGAGAUUACUGUAGUGUUGGGAUCGAAUGUCCUUGUAUUAGAUAAGCGGACAUCCUUGGAAAGCUGUCCGUCUCCUCUCCACCUAUCUGCUCCUUUAUCCAUCUUCCAUUCGCCUCCUGCUCUCUCUCUAUUUAUUUCAGAAUCCCCUUCCC